GUCUAUGGCCAUGCCACCCUAAACAAGCCCUAUCCCAUCUGAUCUCGAAAGCUAAGCAGGGUCGUGCCUGGUUAGUACUUGGAUGGGAGACCACCUACAAAGACCAAGUGCUGCAGGCG
rnacentral:rRNA from 1 species